UACGUAGGGUGCGAGCGUUAAUCGGAAUUACUGGGCGUAAAGCGUGCGCAGGCGGUUUUGUAAUCCAGAUGUGAAAUCCCCGGGCUUAACCUGGGAAUGGCAUUUGGGACUGCAAGGCUCGAGUGCGGCAGAGGAGACUGGAAUUCCUGGUGUAGCAGUGAAAUGCGUAGAUAUCAGGAGGAACACCGAUGGCGAAGGCAGGUCUCUGGGCUGACACUGACGCUCAUGCACGAAAGCGUGGGGAGCAAACAGG
rnacentral:rRNA from 1 species